UCCCAGAUAGUUCAGUGGUAGAACGCCACGCUGUUAACGUGGAUGUCGUAGGUUCGAGUCCUACUCUGGGAG
rnacentral:tRNA from 3 species